ACAAGGAUGGCUCAUCACGACCUCAUGCCGUGUAUUAUUCUAAUAACAGAUGGGAUUCCUACUCGUGUAGAGGCACUUAAUGAAGAGGACAUACGUGGUAGUGCUACAUUAGCAGUGUCAUCAUCAUUGACUAAUUUAGAAAGAGACAAAGAAUUACAAAAAAUAGUCAAGGAUAUUGCUAUGAGAGGUAUAAGAAUAUUCUGUAUUCCAAUCGGAUCUGCAAACACAAAUAUAAUGAGAAGGAUAGCUACUAAAACAUGUGGGAAACUGGUACCGGCUGAACAGAUUAAUCGUAUCUGCAAAAAUACACAGACACAGUUCCACGCAUCAGAAAUUGCACACCAACUGGGGACAGCAACAGAUAUUGACAUUAAUGGUGUAAGAACAGCCGUGCGUUUGGCAAAUCUUCAGGACU